rnacentral:rRNA from 1 species
UUGGAGGGCAAGUCUGGUGCCAGCAGCCGCGGUAAUUCCAGCUCCAAUAGCGUAUAUUAAAGUUGUUGCAGUUAAAAAGCUCGUAGUUGAAUUUCGGGGUUCUUCCGUUGGUCAGGCUAACAAGUCUGUACUAACGUGUAGAAUUCCUACCUUCUGGGGAACCAUCAUGUUAUUAAUUUAGCGUGGUGGGAAACCAGGACCUUUACCUUGAAAAAAUUAGAGUGUUCAAGGCAGGCUUACGUCUGAAUACAUUAGCAUGGAAUAAUAAAAUAGGACGGUGGUCCUGUUUUGUUGGUUUCUGAAUCACCGUAAUGAUUAAUAGGGAUAGUUGGGGGCAUUAGUAUUCAAUUGUCAGAGGUGAAAUUCUUGGAUUUAUUGAAGACUAACUUCUGCGAAAGCAUUUGCCAAGGAUGUUUUCAUUAAUCAAGAACGAAAGUUGGGGGAUCGAAGACGAUCAGAUACCGUCGUAGUCUUAACCAUAAACUAUGCCGACUAGGGAUCGGACGAUGUUAAAUUUUAUUGACUCGUUCGGCGCCUUACGGGAAAC